rnacentral:rRNA from 1 species
AGGGCACACAAAGGAUGCCUAGGUAGUAAGAGCCGAUGAAGGACGUGGUAAGCUGCGAUAAGCCUAGAUAAGUUGCAAUCGAACGUAAGAGUCUAGGAUUUCCGAAUGGAGCAAUCUAUUAAGAUGGAGUCUUAAUACGAAAGAGGGAACCGCGUGAACUGAAACAUCUAAGUAACGCGAGGAAAAGAAAGUAAAAACGAUACCCAAAGUAGCGGCGAGCGAACUGGGUCAAGCCUAAACCUUAAAUAUGUCAAGGAUACAGCCGUUGUAUUUAAGGGGUUGAGGGACAAAGUAGUGAAGAACUGUAAGAUAUUCAAUAUAGUGUAUUGAUGAAUUAGAAUUGUAUGGAAAGAUAAACCGUAGAAGGUGAGAGUCCUGUAUAAGUAAAUCCUUACACAUAUAACUUGGCUCCCAAGUAGCAUGGAACACGAGGAAUUCUGUGUGAAUCAGUGAGGACCAUAUCUCAUAAGGCUAAAUACUCUUACUAACCGAUAGCGCAUAGUACCGUGAGGGAAAGGUGAAAAGAACCCCUGGAGGGGAGUGAAAUAGAACCUGAAAUUGUGUGCUUACAAGCGGUCAAAGCCCAUUUGGGUGAUGGCGUGCCUUUUGGAGAAUGAUCCUGCGAGUUACGUUAAACGGCGAGGUUAAGUAUAACGGAGCCGAAGGGAAACCAAGUCUUAAUAGGGCGAUAUAGUCGUUUGGCGUAGACGCGAAACCUGGUGAUCUAAACCUGUCCAGGAUGAAGCUGUGGUAAGACACAGUGGAGGUCCUAACCCACCGCCGUUGAAAAGUUGGGGGAUGAGGUAGGUUUAGGGGUGAAAAGCCAAUCGAACCAGGAGAUAGCUCGUUCUCUCCGAAAUGCAUCUAGGUGCAGCCUUGAGUGUUCAAUUAUGGGGGUAGAGCACUGAAUGAUCUAGGGGGCAUAUUGCUUACUGAAAUCAAUCAAACUCCGAAUACCAUAAUUUAUAGCUCAGGAGUGAGACUAUGGGAGUUAACUUCCAUUGUCAAAAGGGAAACAACCCAGACCACCAGCUAAGGUCCCUAAUUAUAACUAAGUGGGAAAGGAGGUGGAGAUUCACAAACAACUAGGAGGUUGGCUUAGAAGCAGCCAUACCUUUAAAGAGUGCGUAAUAGCUCACUAGUCGAGAGUCUCUGCGCCGACAAUGUAACGGGGCUAAGUUAUAAACCGAAGCUGUGGAAUCCUUAUGGAUUGGUAGGAGAGCGUUCUGUAGGCUGUUGAAGAAGAAGGGUAACCAACUUUGGAGGUAUCAGAAGUGAGAAUGCAGGAAUAAGUAGCGAGAAAGGGGGCGAGAAUCCCCCUCGCCGGAAGACCAAGGUUUUCAGGGUAAAGCUUGUCUUCCCUGAGUAAGCCGGGACCUAAGCCCAGGCUAUAAUGCGUAGGCGAAUGGAAAACAGAUUAAUAUUUCUGUGCCAGUCAUUUAUUGUGAUGGAGGGACGCAGAAGGGUAUGUGCGCGGACGAUCGGUUGUGUCCGUAGAAGUAUGUAGGAUGACUUAAUAGGAAAAUCCAUUAAGUUAUAUCUGAGGUAUGAUAUACAGUCGUAAGAUGAAUGCGCAAAUCCCACGCUGCCAAGAAAAGCUUCUAACGUUAAUAUUUGACUGCCCGUACUGCAAACCGACACAGGUGGUCAGGAUGAGAAAUCUAAGGCGGACAGGCUAACUCUCGUUAAGGAACUCUGCAAAAUAACCUCGUAACUUCGGGAGAAGAGGAGCCCUUGUGUGUGAGUAUACAUGCGAUACAAAGCGCACGAGGGUCGCAGUGAAGAGGCUCAAGCAACUGUUUAACAAAAACACAGGUCUAUGCUAAGCUGGAAGGCGAUGUAUAUGGGCUGACACCUGCCCAGUGCUGGAAGGUUAAGAGGAGGAGUGAGAGCUCCGAAUUGAAGCCCCAGUGAACGGCGGCCGUAACUAUAACGGUCCUAAGGUAGCGAAAUUCCUUGUCGGGUAAGUUCCGACCUGCACGAAUGGUGUAAUGAUUUGAGCGCUGUCUUGACGGGAGGCCUGGUGAAAUUGUAUUACCGGUGAAGAUACCGGUUACCUACAGUAGGACGGAAAGACCCCAUGGAGCUUUACUGUAGCUUGGUAUUGGGUUUUGGCAUUGCAUGUAUAGGAUAGUUGGGAGACUAUGAUGGUAUGGCGCUAGCUGUAUCGGAGUCAUCGGUGGAAUACCAACCAUUCAAUGCUGAAAUUCUAAUCUGUGGUUUGUAGCCACGGAGACAGUGCUAGGUGGGCAGUUUGACUGGGGCGGUCGCCUCCGAAAGAGUAACGGAGGCGUUCAAAGGUUCUCUCAGGUUGGAUGGAAAUCAACCAUAGAGUGCAAUGGCAUAAGAGAGCUUGACUGCAAGACUGACGGGUCGAGCAGAUGCGAAAGCAGGACAUAGUGAUCCGGCGAUUCCGAAUGGAAGGGUCGUCGCUCAACGGAUAAAAGCUACCCUGGGGAUAACAGGCUGAUCCUACCCGAGAGUCCAUAUCGACGGUAGGGUUUGGCACCUCGAUGUCGGCUCAUCGCAUCCUGGGGCUGGAGAAGGUCCCAAGGGUUGGGCUGUUCGCCCAUUAAAGCGGUACGUGAGCUGGGUUCAGAACGUCGUGAGACAGUUCGGUCCCUAUCCACUGUAGGCGUUAGAAUAUUGAGAAGACCUGUCCUUAGUACGAGAGGACCGGGAUGGACAAACCUCUGAUGUACCAGUUGUCACGCCAGUGGCACAGCUGGGUAGUCACGUUUGGAAUAGAUAACCGCUGAAAGCAUCUAAGCGGGAAACUAACUUCAAGAUAAGUAUUCUUUAAGAUACCUUCGAGCCUAGGAGGUUGAUAGGUUGGGGGUGUAAGUACAGCAAUGUAUUUAGCUGACCAAUACUAAUUAUCGAAGUUUUAAUC